UUGUCUAAAUGAUUUUCGUAUAGUUUUUAAAUUAGCCACCAUAAUGGCAGCAGUUUUGGAAUAGUUUUGAGCAUUUUGGUAAAAUGUUCGCUCUCGUUUUGAACCCUUUAAUUAAAUAUUAUUCAGAGGGCAGGAGCCCAACAACAUUCGACCGCUUAUCAAAACACCAUCAAAAAAUAAUAUAUACAAUGAGAGAGAGAGAGAGGCAGGGAGAGGUAGCACGUCGAGUGGCCACUAAUAUAUGUCGGACACACCCAAUAAAUUCUGUAGAAUGCACAAUCCUUUUAACAAUUCCAACGAACGGACAGCGACGGCCAACAACUGCCCACAUCAAAUUGUGUAUCGCGGGGAUAAUGAACUCGGGCUUACGACCGAAAAGUGAAGCGAAUGAAUUCAUUAGGGAAAACUACGGGCGAAGGCAUUCGGCCAACUGUUGUUUGUUUCCAAAUUGAUGAAAAGUGAGCUAUGGCCAAAUGCCUGGCCAAGCUCGCAGUACUCCCACUCCAAUGAGUCGGCGCACGAACGGCACAGGACCGAAGCGUGGCGUGUUAAUUGCAACUAACUAAGCGGGUCGACCGGAGAGAGAGAGAGAGAGAGAGAGAGAGCGAGAGGAGGGAGAGCG